UGAUUUCUUUGGAUUUGCUUGUUAUUUUGCAUUUAUGGUUUACCAGAGGCUGGACCUCAUGUAAAGAAAACCAGAACUCAGGUGAAUAAUCUGAAUGUCAUGCACAUAAAACCUGACUGCAUGAGGCAAAAACACAGCGAGGACACACUAGUGAGCGAAACCUUAAAUUAGACGUUAUAACGUUAGCUCCACUUUUAGCUUUGAAGGGAAUUCAUCCUUCAGCAAAUAUGAAAAAUCUUGCGCUGGGACUGUUUUUACUGGUUCUGAUGGAAUUUGUCUUUGCACAGAACUCAUCAUCAGCUGUCAACACAACAAUGACAUCCAACGAGACAACGUAUACAACGCAGCCUUACACUGCCUCCACUGCCUCCACUGCCACCACUGCCACCGCUGCCACCGCUGCCACCACUGCCACCGCUGCCACCGCUGCCACCACUGCAGCAACCAUUGGAACCACAGUGACACUAGAGAACAGACUGAGCCUCAUCUCCAUGUCCAUCCCUCUGCUGGGCGUCUCUUUGGUUCUCCAGGCUCUUUAGUCGUGAGUGCACCCCGCAGGCUCGGCACUGGAGUUAACUUCAGAUUUUUUUUUGUUGUUUCCACUGUUUGCUUUGAAUUAAACUUUCCUCCAUGAGUAACUGAACAGGUCUGAUUGACUCAGCUUAAUCAUUCACAGUCACGAUGUGAAUCAUUGUCCUGAGAUGAUGUGUGAAAGGCAAAAACAAGAGCAGUUAUUUGCUGUUUUCUGAUGUGUUUAAGGUAUAUCCUUUAUAAUAUUUACACUCUUUUCAUCACUAUUGUGAUCACUGUAGUUAGUAUCAUUGAUGUGUAACCAAGAACAGGGGCUGCAAAUUACGUACAGCUACAUGGUACAUGUUACCUUAUAUUCAGAUGUCAAAAUCAAUCAAUCAAUACAUGUGAUUUCCUUCCUUAUAUAAAAAUGGAUAUGUUACAAAUAAUGUGUCCAUAAAGAGCAUUGAUUAUGGUGUUUUCAUUUUCGUAUUGUGAGAAUUGCAUCCAUGUGUAAAAUACAUCAAUCAUAAUUAAAUAUAGAUACAAAUUUCUUCCAGUUACACCACAUUUAUCUAUAGCUAAAAACCUUGAUAUGUUACAAAUAGAAACGUGUCAUUAAAGCCUUUUCAUUUUCAUAUUGUGAAAGAUGCAUUUAGUAUGUGUUGUUGCUGUUAAAUGAAUCAAUAUGUAAAAAUAAAUAUAAUUUUCUUCCAAUUAUAUCACAUUUAUGUAAAUACAGCCAAACGGUUUUUGUUGGCACAAUACAGUACAGAAAGAAAUCAGAUUGUACUGUAUUGUGUGGGGGAAAAAAACGGUUUGAGGAACAGAAGCAUAAAGACCUUUGUCAUAGAUGCCUAAAUGUCACGCUGCAUUAGAAUUAUAUUCAUAUUGCCCUUCAAACAGAUUGAAAUGCUUCUGUAUAGUCAAAUGGACUAUUAAAUCCAUGGAGAAAUCUGCUCUGCAAUAAUCAGCAGGUUCAAUGCAAAACAUCACAAGUCAUAAAAGUCUAAAAUAAACAACGUGGGUUGGAUAUCUGAAUUAUUCAAAAACAAUGACAGUACGUGGAAAAAAAGGUGGAAAUUUAGUUUUUAAGGUUUCGCUGUCAUUAUUAUAACCUUAUCUUACAUGUUUUAUUAUAUUUUACUACUUUUAGUCUGUGUAUUCUUGGUGGUUAUAAUCUUUGUAAUUGAUUUAAUGCAAAGUUGUUGCACUGGAACUAAAACAACAGUUAACCAUUAUCCAGAUCCAGAGCAUUGUGCAUAAUCCACCUGGAGGAACAGCUAAGUAUUCACUCUUGCAUAACGAGUUUUCAUCAGCUGUAGCAAAUGACAUUUGUUUCCCAAAAUCUGAGGUGUUUCCAGAUAGUUUUUCAAAUACAAUGUCAAUAAAUGUUGGCUAGGGGACUGUCAUGAAAAUAAGAGCUGAGUUUUCCUUACAAUCUACAAUGAGCAGUGUCUAUAAAUAUCAAACAUGACUGUGUGUUUUUUAUUCCUGUCAAUGUACACCUAAACAGGAAGUUCUAAAAUUAAUAACUCAUAAAGCAGGAACUAAUUAUAACAAAGCACAAAGGUGAGAAGUUUGGUGUCCGUCAUGCAAGCAAAUGCAUAAACAGGUUGGAGAACCACCCACUGGGAGCCAGGGCUUCAUAUAAACUGUACGUCAUAAAUCCCUCCUACCUUUUAAUGAAACAUGAUGGAUUUCAUAUUAAAGUGAAUCAGAUAAAAGGUCCUCACUUUCGCAGAGGAAAGCCACAGGAACGUUGCCGAAAGUGCCGGACAAUUUCAUGUACAUCUCUGGUGCAUCUCUGUCUUGUCUUACAGUGAAGAUGCUGCCUCUGGGACUUUACACGCUGCUUCUGCUGACAUUAGUUAAGGUUGAAGCAAUGACAACUUCCAUGACACCUGUGGCCCCAACUGCAACUAGUUCCCCAACCACUACUACAACUGUGGCUUCGACAACUGCAACUAGUUCCCCAACCACUACUACAACUGUGGCCCCAACAACUGCAACUAG